UACGUAGGGUGCAAGCGUUAAUCGGAAUUACUGGGCGUAAAGCGUGCGCAGGCGGUUUUUGUAAGCCAGAUGUGAAAUCCCCCGGGCUUAACCUGGGAACUGCAUUUGGGACUGCAAGGCUCGAGUACGGCAGAGGGAGGUGGAAUUCCACGUGUAGCAGUGAAAUGCGUUGAGAUCGGAAGGAACGCCCGUGGCGAAAGCGAGCCCCUGGACGCUACUGACGCUGAGACGCGAAAGCCAGGGGAGCGAAACGGG
rnacentral:rRNA from 1 species